AACGAACGCUGGCGGCAGGCUUAACACAUGCAAGUCGAGCGAAGACUUCGGUCUUAGCGGCGGACGGGUGAGUAACGCGUGGGAACAUACCCUUUGCUACGGAACAGUCCCGGGAAACUGGGUUUAAUACCGUAUACGCCCUUCGGGGGAAAGAUUUAUCGGGGAUGGAUGAGCCCGCGUUGGAUUAGCUAGUUGGUGGGGUAAAGGCCUACCAAGGCGACGAUCCAUAGCUGGUCUGAGAGGAUGAUCAGCCACAUUGGGACUGAGACACGGCCCAAACUCCUACGGGAGGCAGCAGUGGGGAAUCUUAGACAAUGGGGGCAACCCUGAUCUAGCCAUGCCGCGUGAGUGAUGAAGGCCUUAGGGUUGUAAAGCUCUUUCAGCUGGGAAGAUAAUGACGGUACCAGCAGAAGAAGCCCCGGCUAACUCCGUGCCAGCCGCCGCCGUAAGAC
rnacentral:rRNA from 1 species